rnacentral:rRNA from 1 species
GAUGAACGCUAGCGACAGGCUUAACACAUGCAAGUCGAGGGGCAGCACAGGUAGCAAUACCGGGUGGCGACCGGCGCACGGGUGAGUAACGCGUAUGCAACUUGCCUAUCAGAGGGGGAUAACCCGGCGAAAGUCGGACUAAUACCGCAUGAAGCAGGGAUCCCGCAUGGGAAUAUUUGCUAAAGAUUCAUCGCUGAUAGAUAGGCAUGCGUUCCAUUAGGCAGUUGGCGGGGUAACGGCCCACCAAACCGACGAUGGAUAGGGGUUCUGAGAGGAAGGUCCCCCACAUUGGUACUGAGACACGGACCAAACUCCUACGGGAGGCAGCAGUGAGGAAUAUUGGUCAAUGGCCGAGAGGCUGAACCAGCCAAGUCGCGUGAGGGAUGAAGGUUCUAUGGAUCGUAAACCUCUUUUAUAAGGGAAUAAAGUGCGGGACGUGUCCCGUUUUGUAUGUACCUUAUGAAUAAGGAUCGGCUAACUCCGUGCCAGCAGCCGCGGUAAUACGGAGGAUCCGAGCGUUAUCCGGAUUUAUUGGGUUUAAAGGGUGCGUGGGCGGCCUUUUAAGUCAGCGGUGAAAGUCUGUGGCUCAACCAUAGAAUUGCCGUUGAAACUGGGGGGCUUGAGUAUGUUUGAGGCAGGCGGAAUGCGUGGUGUAGCGGUGAAAUGCAUAGAUAUCACGCAGAACCCCGAUUGCGAAGGCAGCCUGCCAAGCCAUGACUGACGCUGAUGCACGAAAGCGUGGGGAUCAAACAGGAUUAGAUACCCUGGUAGUCCACGCAGUAAACGAUGAUCACUAGCUGUUUGCGAUACACUGUAAGCGGCACAGCGAAAGCGUUAAGUGAUCCACCUGGGGAGUACGCCGGCAACGGUGAAACUCAAAGGAAUUGACGGGGGCCCGCACAAGCGGAGGAACAUGUGGUUUAAUUCGAUGAUACGCGAGGAACCUUACCCGGGUUUGAACGCAUUCGGACCGAGGUGGAAACACCUUUUCUAGCAAUAGCCGUUUGCGAGGUGCUGCAUGGUUGUCGUCAGCUCGUGCCGUGAGGUGUCGGCUUAAGUGCCAUAACGAGCGCAACCCUUGCCACUAGUUACUAACAGGUAAAGCUGAGGACUCUGGUGGGACUGCCAGCGUAAGCUGCGAGGAAGGCGGGGAUGACGUCAAAUCAGCACGGCCCUUACAUCCGGGGCGACACACGUGUUACAAUGGCGUGGACAAAGGGAAGCCACCUGGCGACAGGGAGCGAAUCCCCAAACCACGUCUCAGUUCGGAUCGGAGUCUGCAACCCGAUUCCGUGAAGCUGGAUUCGCUAGUAAUCGCGCAUCAGCCAUGGCGCGGUGAAUACGUUCCCGGGCCU